rnacentral:lncRNA from 1 species
UCAUUAAAGUCACCUUAUAUUAGAGGAAACAAAUUUGUUAUCUAAGAAAAACAAUGUCUUUACUAAAUAUAAACACAAAUAUACACAUAUAUAUACAUAAUUUUGUAGCCAUUGUUUUUCCUAUAUCUAGUAAAAUAAUUCUUUCCUGAUCAGUUGUAACAAAGCAAUUUCAACCUUUUUUUACUUCACAAUAUCUUUAAAAAUGUCUCAUUUUAUUCCAACAACAUAUGUCAUAUUUCUUGUUGUUUGUUUUAUGUGUUUUGAACCUUGCGCCCAUGCAAGAAAUUUUAAUUCUCCGGGCAUCGAAAAUGUCAAUCCAUUCACAUCAACAAUGAAAGUCGCAGAAGAAAACAUUAAGAAGAAUGUUCCUAAAAGAGAAAAUGGUUAUACAACGGCUAGUAUAAUCAAUGGAAAUUAUGCAAGUGGACCCGAUCCGAGUGGAAGAGGACAUGGUAGACCGCCAACUCCACCACACCAUUGAAAAACAAUCGUUUGAACUGUACAUGGUGGAUAUAAUGUGAAUUAGAUAAUAAUAAUUAAUAAUUAAUAAAAAGUUGUGAAAGUUGGAUUUUGUUCAUAUAUAAUGAAAUCAAAUAAUAAACCAACUGAAAAUAAAGAAAACAAAUAAUACAUUUAACAAUAGAAAUUAUUGUGUAUAUUUUAUAGUUAUACAGAAAAUGUAAACAUCAAAAUUUAAUUUGAACCAAACGAAAAUUAAGAUUAUCAAAAUUGAUCAGAUAGUUGUUUUUUCCCCUCUCAAACUCAAUCAAACUGAAAUUAAUAUCAACCCAUUUUUAAAUUAAAACAAGGUUUAAAAACCUUUUCACUAGUUAAUAUAAAAUACCUAAAUUUUUAUAAAAAUAAUUAUGUUAAACUAGACACGAUUGGAAAAGGCAAAUCGAUUGCGAAAACAACAUAAAUAAUAUCCGUGGACAAAAUUAGAACACCAUAUGCAAACUUGUUCAUCAUUGUAUUUUUUUCUUGAUAUAUGUUGACUCACAAAUCUUAGAAAAAUCAUCGCUAAAAUUCUUCAGAGUAAGCCGAUCACUAUAUUGAUAACACCAUAUUUACCAGUUCAGAAAAACCUAUUACAAAAACUAAAUCAAAAUCUUUAGGGGGGCCGUAUAUAUAAAAUUGUGAUCAAUUAUUUAAGGAUAUUUUUUGUUCUCUUAGUUUCUUUUGUAUGAAUCCUCUAAACAUUAUUUGCAAAGUGAUUUUGACACAUGUCUUCUCUACAAUCAUUUUAACCAAAUAAAUAUGACAUGACAUGCUACAAUUAUGACAUGACUUAUGAUUAAAUGUGACAUGAACAAUUACAUUGAAUGCUUAUUUAUAUUUUUGGUAAACUCUUUAGAAUAUAUGGUAGUAAAUUAUACACUAUCAUUAAAGUAAAUCUAUUAAAGUAUGAUAUUAAAUAAUAUAACAAUAAAAUUAUAAUUAUAUUUUAUAAAUUCUGAAAUAUUAUUUAUUUCUAAUUUUGAAUAAUUAUACAAUUUAUAACUAAAAAGAAUUCCAAAAUCUUUUACAAUUUUUUUUUAAAUUAUAAUUUUUUUAUCGUAAUAUUAUUAGUUUCUAUUAUAUACCAUUUUACUAUUGAUAAUUAUAAAACUUGUAUAUCAUUUUUAUUAAUUUUAUACAAUUUAAUUUAAUAUAUUUUAUCCAAAAGAAAUAGAUAAAAUUCUAUUUCAUAUUAUUAUUUUAAAUAUAUACAUAUCUAUUCUUAGAUAUAAUUUAAAAUAAACAAAAUUAUUUAUUUUAACUUAAUUUUGUGUUCGGUUGAAAUAUUAUUAAGACAUAAUAAAAUUUAAAAAAUAAUAAACUUUAUUUUAAAAAUAAUUUUAAUUUAAAAUUUUUAUUCCUGCACAUUGGUGCUUUUAAACAGUAUAAACUUUAAUAAUUUAAUUUUAUCUUAACUAAUAAAGAAAUACAAUUCAUAUAACAAAAUUAUAGUCUAUUUUACAUAUCUUUAAUAUUUGAAUGGUUUAGGAGAUAAACUUUAAAUAAUAUAACUAGUAGUGUUUCUCUUCUUCCUCUACAAAUUAGCCCCUAAAGGGUUAUUAGACCCUUUUGGAGAUUUUAAAUAGAGGUUUUGGUUUUCACAUGCGAUGAGAUUGCGAUGCCGAAGGCGACUUAGAUCUAGGGUUUCGAUGCGGUUUCGGGGAUGGGAUGUGGGGAGACUAAGGGAUGGAUUGGAGCGGGUUUUUCCUGCUCUUUACCAGGAUAAUGGUUUUGGAAAGCAAAGGAAUGGGAACGGCGAUCCACAGCGAGAAGAUCGAACAAGAUUUAUGGGUUUUAAUGGAAACAGUGGAUUACUAGGGCCUGGGUUUUAGGGCGUUUUACGGAUAGAAUCGAUCUAUGGUUAUCUCAGGUCUCCAAUUGGUGAUCUCCCAGAUUUUCAAGGUAUGAUUUGGUGUCUAUUCUUUAGGAGAUCGUUUUGGAUUGGCUGGGGGUUUCCACAAAGGAAUCACCGAUAUUUGAGAAUUGAUGAUUGGAAAGCCAGGAUUUGGUUUCUUAUUCUCAUCAGAAUCAACGAGAUGUUCGAAGAUUUCUCAGAUGAAUUUCAAGAUCUCUCGGAAGGUGAGAUCGAGGAAAAGGACAAGGAAUGCAUUAAGAUACUGUCUGGUGAAGAUUUCUUAAGUGAGAAUGCUGAGGAAGAUAACCAGAUUGGAGAUAAGGAAGAUAAAGGCCCAGUUACGCUGGAAAUGGACAAAGAGCAGGGGGCUAGGAUGAUGCUGUUUAAGAGCCAGAAUGUAGCAGGUGGAACCAUGAAGAAGAGAAUGGUACAAGGGCUAGUAUCUCCUCGCAAACGUCCUUCGGCUAAAGCGGGUAUCCGACAAGGUGAUGGUUUUAAAAAGGUAGAAGAGACGGUCCCUCAAACCCUUUACCGAGCUCAUCAAAACCCUGAUUUUAUGGAUCGAUCCUUUGAAGAAGAGAAGCUAUGGUGGCAGAUACUGAGAGAGCAGAUGUCCAGAGGCUGUUACCGUUGGUUUCGAUCGGUCUGUUUGGUCAUCAGAAGAAACAUGGAAAAGCUGAAAUACUGGUCUUCAGUGGAGGAAAAUAUUUUGCUCUUGGCCUCAUUAAGCCACAAGUGAAGUCAAACCUUGUUCCUAUAUUGGAAUAAUAAAAAUGUAAGGUGUCCGAAUGGUGAAUGGGAGUUUAAUUGUGGUGUCUCAUUGGUCACAAUUAAUUACCAAAGGAAAGACAGAGAGUGUCGAGGAUAUGGGGUGAAUAAUCAGACUCAGGGGUACGUGAGUCUCACGUCAAAAUUAAUGAUGGUUUAUAAAUGUUUUGGACACUUAUGGUUUCUUCGUAUCCAGCUGUAUUGCUCAACAGAGCUAAUCAGUAUAAAUUUGAGGCGGCUUCUCUGCUGGAAUAAUAGAUGUAUGGGUCGUAAAUGGACGAUAAUUUAUCUUAGGGAGAUCUGGUACAAACAUAAACCAGACUUUUUAUAUUUAUCAGAAACGGAAAAAGAUACAACUUUUGUUGCUUUUUAUGCUUCUUGUAUCUCUCUUUGGAUAUGGUUGAUAUGGACUGUGAAAGACUUGGUAAUGUAUUGGUAUAUAUUUAGGUGGAGGGAGAGAUAUUGGUCUUUGGAUGACUUUGCAAGCAUAUCAAGUCUCCAUAUUAAUGCAGCCAAAUCGUCCUAAUAUGCACCAGGAAGUGGAAUAGCUAACGUAUGUGAGGAAGCUGAGAGAGCUGGAAUUGAAGUGGGACAGCUUCCGAUCAGAUACAUGGGUCUGCCAUUGACUUCAAAGGCUCUUUCUAAGGAGGAUUAUGAGCCUUUGAUAGAUAAAAUCAGAACUCGAAUUCUGUCGUGGACCAACAAGAGCUUAUCUUAUGCAGGGCGCUUGCAGCUUCUCAACUCAGUCAUCUCCAGCAUAGUGAGCUUCUGGAGCUCUGCUUUUAUAUAUUACCUAUGGCCUGUUUGGAUACAAUAGAGAGCCUCUGCAGUGCAUUUAUAUGGGCAGGAGAUCCUCAUCAGACCCAUAAGGCGAAAGUUAAAUGGGAAGACUUGUGUUAUCCAAAAUCAGAGGGAGGAUUGGGCAUUCGGAGACUGCAAGAUACUGUUAGAGUCUUUGCUCUUAGUCUGAUAUGGCAAUUUUUUAAUAUGUCAGACUCACUAUGGGUUUCAUGGGUUCAACAUUAUCUUUUGCAUCAUAGUUCAUUCUGGGAUGUUCGGGAAGAGACAACAGGUUCCUGGAUAUGGAGGAAACUCCUUAAGUUGUGUCCUCUGGCCUAUCAGUUCAUCAGGGUGGAAGUUGGUAAUGGUGAGAAAGCUUUCUUUUGGCAUGAUGAUUGGUUGCGAAUCAGGAAACUUAUUGAGUUAACAGGAGCAACUGGCACAAGGUAUCUAGGAAUAGUUCGUAGUGCUCGGGUGUGUGAUGCUGUGGCUCAAGGCCAAUGGAGAGUGAGGGGACAGAGAAGCCGGCAUUUCCAAGAUUUACAUGCCAAAAUACAAGCAGAACCGGUACCUAAUCAGUGCAUGGGAGAGGAUAGGUUUCUAUGGAGGCACGAAACAGAGGUUUAUAAGGACUCUUACUCAGCUUCAAGAACAUGGGAACAGCUUCGACGCAAGAAAGAAGAAGUGAAUUGGAGUAGUAGUGUGUGGUUCAAACAAGGUGUUCCUCGGUUUGCAUUUAUUGUGUUGCUUGCUAUUCAGAAUAGGCUCUCUACGGGAGACAGAAUGAGGCAGUGGAGAAUUCAGCAAGGUUGUGUCCUUUGUGGAGAGAGAGAUAAGACGCGCGAUCACUUGUUUUUCGCUUGUCCUUACUCUUAUACCGUCUGGGAUAGAGUCGUUGGCAAGCUUAUAGGACGGAGAAUCAAUCCUGACUGGUCUGAUAUGCUCAGAUAUAUUCGAAAUGGAGCAGCCAAUCUUAAGAAUCAGGUGCUCAUCAGUUUGCUCUUUCAAGUGGUGGUUUAUCAUAUCUGGCGUGAACGCAAUCUAAGGAGAAAUCAACAAGGCCAGAAGGGGACUGAGCUGAUGAUUAGUACAAUCAAUAAGACAGUAAAAAAUAGGAUCUCUUCUUUGGGUUAUGAGGCAGAUCAUAGAUUGGAAGGACUUCUUCGGAGAUGGUUCGAGGUUUUUGAUUGAGUUUGGAGCAUGGAGCUUGGACAAUGGAGCUAUUAACACAAAUUUUCUUUUCUUCCUACAUAUAGAUAUAAGAACCAUUAUUCCUUUUUAGGUUUCAUUCUUUGUAAAUCCUUUUAGUUGAUGAUCAAUAAAUCAAAAUUUCAUCAAAAAAAAAAAUAAUUCAUUAAGGAUAAGAAAGAGUUUAACCGCUUUAACUUAUGAUGUGGGAUCUCGAAUGCGAGAAAUCACUUCACAAAUAUAAAAAAAAAAUCAUCGUUAAUAUUCUUCAGAGUAAUCCGAUCACUAUAUUGAUAAUGCCAUAUCUACCAGUUCAGAAAAUUAUAUUUCAAAAACUAAAUCAAAAUCUUUAGGGGGGCCUAUAUAGAAAACUGCAAUCAAAUUUUUUAGGAUAUUCUUUGUUCUCUUAUUUUCUUUUGUAUGAAUUAACUAAUAAAGAAAUACAAUUCAUAAAACAAAAUCUUAGUCUAUUUUACAUAUCUUUAAUAUUUGAAUGGUUUAGGAGAUAAACUUUAAAUAAUAUGUCAAGUAUUUUCUAUAGUAAAUAAUUGAUAAGACUUAUAAUAAUAUGUCGAGUAUUUUCUAUAGGAAAUAAUUUACAUCUGGUUCUAAGGAUUGAAAGUUUUCAGUUAUUGGUAGAUUUUAGGACCUUCCAAAUCUUAUAGGGGUACGUAGUUUAUGUUCUUGAUCCUGUUUUCUCAAGAGUUUUUAAGUGCUAUUUUCUUCGGCUUAGAUUUUAACCAAAGUAAACAACCUCUGUCUUUUGAUUUUGGCUUGCACUGCAUUGAAAAUGGGUCUAAACCGGCUAGAAAUGAAAGUUGCAUUGAGCUUGUGAAUAAUAACAUUGUGGGUUUCGAAAGAUGUUAAAAUGUCUAAACCAUUUGCGCAAAUUACACUUUAGAAGAUAAAAUAACAAUUAACAAAAUAUAUCACUAUUCUUAUUAAAUAUAGACUUUGAAAAUGAGAUUUUGGUUGAUAUCCAAAGAACUUUCAAGAGGAAGUAUCAUAAAAUAUUAAAAAUAGAAAUCAAACGCAAACACUUUUUCAUAAAUUAAUGACCAUACAUUUUUUUUUUGUUCUGAAAUGGAAUGUUCUAAAUAUUAACAUUAAAAUUUACUUAAAAAUUUAAUAAAUUUAUUUGCUUGGAUAAUCAAUUUGUUUCUUUUGAGAUAAUGUGAUCUUCGAUAUAUUGAAUAAUUAAUUAUUCGCUUACAUUAUUUACAAAUUGAUUACUUAUGUCACAUGUUUACAAUCAUAUCAUGUCACAUGUUUACAAUCGUAUCAUAUCAUAGGUUUAAAAUCGUAUCACAAAACAAAUUUAACAAGCUUUAAAAAAAUGACAUAUUUUUAACAAAACAUGAUAAGUCAUAUUGUUUUAAUAAUUUUCAUUUUCUAGUAAAAUAAUUCUUACAAAAUCUCACUAUAGACACAUGAACUCCUUAGUUAAUUGUUUUUAAUUAGUUAAAUUAAUAAAGGAAAUCACAGUCCUCAAAAGAUUAACUAAAGUAAAAUUAAUUAAAUUAAUUAACUAAUAUUUUAAGAAUAUUAGUUUUGCUUAUUAGUUUUAGUUAAUUAAAUAACUGAAAACAUCUUACAAAAUAACUACUUAAAAUACUUAAAGCUUGCUAACUAAAAAUAAGUAUAUUAUUUAAUAUUACUAAAUUUUGUUUUAAUUAGUUAAGGAAAUAAUUGAAAUCAUAUUCCUAACAGUAAAAAAAACUAAUUAACACUUUAUUAUUUAAUUAAUUAAUAUUUCUAAUAUUUGUUUUACUAUUUAUCUUAAAUUAAUUAUGAAAAUCAUAUGUGUCUUGAAAUUUUGUAGGGAUUUGGUUUUUAAAAAUAACAUUCUUAAAAAAUUAUGACAUACCAUCUUUUUAAAAAAUAUGCCAAUUUUUAUAAAUCAUAUCAAGUUAUUUUGUGAUAAUGUUGUAAAGAUGACAUAUGAGCAAUCACUUUAAAAAUAAUAUUUAAGUAGAUAUUAAAUUUCAUUAAAGUCACCUUAUAUUAGAGGAAACAAAUUUGUUAUCUAAGAAAAACAAUGUCUUUACUAAAUAUAAACACAAAUAUACACAUAUAUAUACAUAAUUUUGUAGCCAUUGUUUUUCCUUUAUCUAGUAAAAUAAUUCUUUCCUGAUCAGUUGUAACAAAGCAAUUUCAACCUUUUUUUACUUCACAAUAUCUUUAAAAAUGUCUCAUUUUAUUCCAACAACAUAUGUCAUAUUUCUUGUUGUUUGUUUUAUGUUUUUUGAACCUUGCGCCCAUGCAAGAAAUUUUAAUUCUCCGGGCAUCGAAAAUGUCAAUCCAUUCACAUCAACAAUGAAAGUCGCAGAAGAAAACAUUAAGAAGAAUGUUCCUAAAAGAGAAAAUGGUUAUACAACGGCUAGUAUAAUCCAUGGAAAUUAUGCAAGUGGACCCGAUCCGAGUGGAAGAGGACAUGGUAGACCGCCAACUCCACCACACCAUUGAAAAACAAUCGUUUGAACUGUACAUGGUGGAUAUAAUGUGAAUUAGAUAAUAAUAAUUAAUAAUUAAUAAAAAGUUGUGAAAGUUGGAUUUUGUUCAUAUAUAAUGAAAUCAAAUAAUAAACCAACUGAAAAUAAAGAAAACAAAUAAUACAUUUAACAAUAGAAAUUAUUGUGUAUAUUUUAUAGUUAUACAGAAAAU